rnacentral:lncRNA from 1 species
GAAAAUGCAACUGUGUAUUAUUUAGCCUUAGAUGUUCAAGAAUCUGACUGCCGGGUCCUAUCCAGGAAACACUGGAAUGACUGUGAGCCUGCUGUUUCCAGGCUUCUUUCUUACAGGUGAUCGGACAAUGUAAGGUAAUAGCUACAAGACAUUCCCAUGAAUCUCAGGAUCUCAGAAUGAUUGACUUUAACUGCACCACAAGUUCUGUCUCUUCAGCAUUGGCCAAUACCAAGGAUAGUCCCGUCCUCUUAGAUUCCCUCAAGGAUACCGAGCUCUACAGAAAACAAGCCAACAAAGCCCUUGUGAAGUAUAAAGGAGAGAAUGAUGACUUUCCCUCUUUCGGAGUGGACCAAGUGCAGAGAACUGCAAGAGUGUUGAUGAUGGUGGUAGGUGAUAGUUGUUGUUUAUGUUUUAAAUAUCAAUUGGGCUAGAUAACAACUUUAGAACCCUUUUUUUUAUCCUACUUUUCAAAUUCAUGUGUGGAAUCCAAAAUCUGAGUGCCAUUGGUCUAAAUCCAAUGUCUAACUUCUCUUAGAAGUUGAAUGUCUAGCUUCUCAUUGUGUGUUACAUGAUAAUAUUUAUUUUUCUGUGUCCUUCAUCAGACAUGUACGAUCAUGAAUUGCGUGCAACCCCAUUUGACCUAUCCGCUCCAUCCUGGUGGGCGUGAACAUUCUCCGAUUGCCAAGCCUCCAUGUAAGGAUCCUUGCCAAGCCCCAAGGAUCCAGAGAUCAUCGUCAUCCUGAGAAGCCACAUGAACACGAUGCCCACUUCCAGUAGAUGAAAAAGGUGACUCAGACAUUAACCACUUCAAGGGGGGGCUCCUCCACUAUUGCCCCUCAGGGUCCAGAUGCAACCAUGUUUCUUCUAACAUGAUUGGAACACAAAGUUACUCCCAUAAUCAUAACUCCAGUGAGCUUCAUCCUCAUGACCAUCAUCCCCAUGGACACCAUCUCCAAGGACCCUGUUCCUAUGCACACCACCACCAUGGCCGUGAUUGCUUUGACGAUGGACCCUGUAACCCACCACCCUAUAGCCAAGGUCCCCAAGGUCACCAUUGCCAUUGCCACGGCCCACCACCUGGGCACUCAGAAGGACGAGGUCAAGGUAAAGGACACUGUCCCUUCCAUUGCAAACUGCAUCUGUGUACGGACUCCCUCCCGUAAGGAAAGGUGAGAAGCUACCACUUCCUGAAGCCAAUUUUCCCAGCUUCCCAUUGCUGCAUGAUAACAACCCUCUAAAGCCAGACAUUCUGCCCUCCCUCAAUCUGCCUCUGAAUCAUGUCCAGGGAAGUUCAAGAGUGAGUUUCCAGAAGCAUUCAAGGCUUUUGGACAUACAUUUCCCAAA